CUCCAAUUUAGAAUUUAGUUUGUCGCUGAUUCUCAGGUCGAAAGGUUAUCUAUUUUUCUCGUCAUUGUGAAAUAGAAAUUUUUUUUCGCUCGAUCCAUUUGCUUCCACAAGUUUUGUGUUGGACAAUUAGAGGCGUUUCCUGGAAGAAACUCAGCCUUCCAGUUGUAUGUUAUUCACGUGCGUUGAAUAGCACGAAAGUUUGUUUCGACACCUCGUUCACUUUCCCGCCACUUUGACGAUGACAAAACUAACUCUAAAUGGUACUACAAAGAGAAACAAAAGAAAGAUUCCCUAGUUUUGGUUGACAUAGUCAAUUCUGAUAGAAAUGGGUAGACAACACACAGGCAAUCUGCUGUUGUGACUGACAGGAGAAACUUGGUUUGAGACUGCUCCAUGACCAAACGUAAAUGGAGUUGCUUGAAAAUUGACUUUCCCUGAGUUUUGUCAAGCAUGUGCAGACUCUGUGGCAAUUGCAAUGCGACAUAAUCUGGCAUUUGGUGGCUACAUCCUAGAAGAUUCUAAUUUACGGAUAAUCCAGAUUCCAGAUCUGGUCUGUGUCGGCUUUCCAACGUGAAGAUGUUGUGAAUAUUGGAAAGCAAAGAUUUGCAGUCAGAAGUGGUGGUGGACGUGCCUUGCCAACGAAGUGGAACGUGUAUGUCCAUCGUAAUUCUACAGCUUUUACCGCCAGUGCAAUCAUAAAAUCAAGAAAACGUCCAUCCAAAAUGUUUGACUCGGCCUUGACAGCUGAGAGACAUUCGGUAGUCGCCCAUCAAGUAGCCAGCUGUGGAACAGGAUUGGUGUCCAGCGUUGAAGAACUAAAAUUU